CUCCCAGAUUCUUGCAGAGAAAUGGAGCAUCAAGCCAGAAGCUUAUUAGUUUGUUUUACAACAUCGCCAUCGGGGAUUGCUUUUAAAGGUCUGCCUGUGUGUAUGCCUCUUUGUUAUAAGAGGUUACUCUAACGCUGAGGACAGUUAUCACCUGUCCUCAAGGAGAUUGAAGUUUAAGUCAGACAACUUUGGAACCAGCAGACAAGAGAAAACCCAGACAACAACCAGUAUGGAAUAAGGGCAGCAAUAACUACUACUGUCCUACAGAAAUCUCAAGGGGUGACUAGUAUCCAAAUUCCACUAAAUAAAUGGUUCAGACCUUUCUUCCUGCCUAGCAUUUACUAUUUCCAACAACUUGAACCAACAAAGAUGCUAGGAGCAGUUGCAUGGGCUUCCUUUUACUGAUUUUCAGAUGCCCCAGAAAUGUGCAUUCCCAUGGUAAAGAAGUAGGAAUCCAAAGGAUUCUUAUUUUUAUUCCCCAACAUUGCCUAGCUCUGUCAUACUACUUCCUGGUCAGUUCUGUGUGUUCCCUACCUAAUAUGCCCAAAUCAAAGCCAAGUGAAAUGUCUUCCUAAGAUUUUUUCUUACAAUUAAAGAAAUAAAAUGCAUUUAUGUAA